GGGGGUGUAGUACAACGGUUAGUAUGAAGGUCUCCAAAACCUUAGAUUGCAGUUCGAUUCUGUACACCCCCGCCA
rnacentral:tRNA from 1 species